CCUCACUCACCUGUCACCCACCCAGAUCCCUCCCUCCCGUCCAGGUCAAUCUGGCCCAUAGCAGGUGACUACUGUGCCCUUCUCAGGUGCCAAGAUUGGAGUCGGGGAGACGCCCAAGACACAUCGACACGUUAGGGCAGGUGCGGGUGUCUGCUGUGAAGGAGGCGGCAGAGACAAGGACCCAGAGGGAUGGAAGAAGGCGUUUCUGCUCAGGCACUAGUAUCAACUGAUAUCCCUAUUGAUGUGUUUUCCUUACAAAAUAAUCCAUCCAUUUCUUGAAGAGAAAGCAGCUAUAAUUUGAUUCUUGGGAGUUCCUGUUGUGGCUCAGCAGAAACGAAACCUGAC